rnacentral:rRNA from 1 species
CCUGCCGGACCUUACUGCUAUCGGGGUGGGACUAAGACAUGCGAGUCGAGCGUCUCUAGCUAUGUUGAGACGCGGCAGACGGCUCAGUAACACGUGGCUAACCUACCCUCAGGACGGGGACAAACCCGGGAAACUGGGGCUAAUAUCCGAUAGGUGAGGGUGCCUGGAAUGGCUCUUCACUUAAAGGGCAUUGAAAACAUGCAUUCAAUGUCGCCUGGGGAUGGGGCCGCGUCCGAUCAGGUUGUUGGUGAGGUAAUGGCUCCACCAAGCCUAUAACCGGUACGGGCCGUGAGAGCGGUAGCCCGGAGAUGGGUACUGAGACAAGGACCCAGGCCCUACGGGGCGCAGCAGUCGCGAAAACUCCGCAAUGCACGAAAGUGUGACGGGGCUACCCCGAGUGCCAUCCGCUGAGGGUGGCUUUUCCUUGGUGUAACUAGCCGGGGGAAUAAGGAGAGGGCAAGACUGGUGUCAGCCGCCGCGGUAAUACCAGCUCUCCGAGUGGUAGGGAUGAUUAUUGGGCUUAAAGCGUCCGUAGCCGGCUUAGCAAGUCUCCUGUUAAACUCAACGACCUAAUCGUUGACCCGCGGGAGAUACUACUAGGCUAGGAGGCGGGAGAGGUCGACGGUACUUCUGGGGUAGGGGUGAAAUCCUACAAUCCCGGGAGGACCACCAGUGGCGAAGGCUGUCGACUAGAACGCGCUCGACGGUGAGGGACGAAAGCUGGGGGAGCGAACCGGAUUAGAUACCCGGGUAGUCCCAGCCGUAAACGAUGCGGGCUAGGUGUUGGGGUGGCUACGUGCCACUUCAGUGCCGCAGGGAAGCCAUAAAGCCCGCCGCCUGGGGAGUACGGCCGCAAGGCUGAAACUUAAAGGAAUUGGCGGGGGAGCACCACAA